GAUGAACGCUGACAGAAUGCUUAACACAUGCAAGUCAACUUGAAUUUGGGUUUUUAACUUAGGUUUGGGUGGCGGACGGGUGAGUAACGCGUAAAGAACUUGCCUCACAGCUAGGGACAACAUUUGGAAACGAAUGCUAAUACCUAAUAUUAUGAUAAUAGGGCAUCCUAUAAUUAUGAAAGCUAUAAGCGCUGUGAGAGAGCUUUGCGUCCCAUUAGCUAGUUGGAGAGGUAACGGCUCACCAAGGCGAUGAUGGGUAGCCGGCCUGAGAGGGUGAUCGGCCACAAGGGGACUGAGACACGGCCCUCACUCCUACGGGAGGCAGCAGUGGGGAAUAUUGGACAAUGGACCAAGAGUCUGAUCCAGCAAUUCUGUGUGCACGAUGAAGUUUUUCGGAAUGUAAAGUGCUUUCAGUUGGGAAGAAAGAAAUGACGGUACCAACAGAAGAAGUGACGGCUAAAUACGUG
rnacentral:rRNA from 1 species